rnacentral:rRNA from 1 species
AUUGAACGCUGGCGGCAUGCCUUACACAUGCAAGUCGAACGGCAGCACGGGAGCUUGCUCCUGGUGGCGAGUGGCGAACGGGUGAGUAACACAUCGGAACGUACCCUGAAGUGGGGGAUAACGUAGCGAAAGUUACGCUAAUACCGCAUAUUCUGUGAGCAGGAAAGCAGGGGAUCGCAAGACCUUGCGCUCUGGGAGCGGCCGAUGUCGGAUUAGCUAGUUGGUGGGGUAAAGGCCUACCAAGGCGACGAUCCGUAGCGGGUCUGAGAGGAUGAUCCGCCACACUGGGACUGAGACACGGCCCAGACUCCUACGGGAGGCAGCAGUGGGGAAUUUUGGACAAUGGGCGAAAGCCUGAUCCAGCCAUGCCGCGUGAGUGAAGAAGGCCUC